rnacentral:miRNA from 1 species
UUUAAAAUCGGUCAUAAGGUAGCCAAUUUUAAAAGUGACGCGGUGGAAAUUUUGUAAAUAAUGAAUUACUUUUAAAAUCGGCUACCUUAUGACCGAUUUUAAA